GGGGAAUAUUGGGCAAUGGGCGCAAGCCUGACCCAGCAAUGCCGCGUGAAGGAAGAAGGCUUUCGGGUUGUAAACUUCUUUGACAGGGGAAGAGCAGAAGACGGUACCCUGAAAACAAGCCACGGCUAACUAC
rnacentral:rRNA from 1 species